rnacentral:ncRNA from 1 species
UCGAGCCGUAUGCGGGGAAAGCUCGCACGUACGGUUCUUCGGGGGCCGCGUUUCCGCAAGGAAACGUGGCUACCCAAU